AUCACGCCGAAGACAGCAGGUGCCGAAAGGCGUAAGAAGUCAACGCCUGCCGAGGAUGAACAUUCUCUUUAGGAAGAAUUUCGUAUCCUGUCCAGUUUCGGCUGGACAGGUUUUCUUUUGU
rnacentral:sRNA from 1 species